CGGCCUAUCCGGAGCAGGGCUCCAAGGAAUCAUAGGGACCGAAGCAUAGGGCUUCAAUCAUGGUCAAGCUGGAGCAGAGCUUCACAUUCCCACCCAAGGCCGGAGCAACGGGCUCCACCCACGGCCAAGCUGAAGCAAACCUCCACACAUCCCAAUCCAAGGCCGGAGCAUAGGGCUCCACCUACGGCCAAGCCGGAGCAGGGCUCCACAUGGACUAUCCAAGGUCGAAGCAUCGGGCUUCUUCCACGUCAACCCAAGGUCGGAGCAUCGGGCUCCUCCCACGGUCAACACCGAAGGAAAUCACCAGCUGGAGAAGGGCUUCACAAGGGACCCACGGGCGGUCACACGGAGGUGCAGAGAUUGUGCACAGUCUCACACCUAGCGGACGAUGCAAAUCGUCACAAGCACUCACUUUGAGUCAACACAAUUGGUUUUUAUUUUUAAUCCACUCGGGAAGCUGAACACCAAGAUCAUCCAGGCGGACGAUCAGGCAAGGUUGAAUAUAGACAGCAGGACGUCAUCACACCAAGGUCGACGUGGCAAGAUCACGGAGGUAUCGCGGCAGAUGUGCAGGUGCACAAUUCUAGGACGGUCUGUUUCCAAUGUUUAAUCCGAUCACAAUAACUGCGGGGCAAUUACGAACGAUCGGCAAGACCAUUUCAACGCAACUCACAACCACAUAGGAUCGAAUUACAACGACAUCGACAGCGGUUUGUCGAUGGUGGGUGAGCUGGUAUGCACACCACAGGAACGGUUUGGACACGAUCGCAACGAUCAACACGACGGUUUGCACGACUGCUGUUUGCAGUUUGGGUUCGCCAUGGGCACGCUCACAUCCAGGAUCGAGUACGGCGAACUGGACUUCUGUGUGUAGGAUUCAUACAGAAGUACUCGGCGAUGGUCAAACGGUGGGUGAGGUUCGGAGACACUCACACACUCACGCAGGACACCAAUUCAACCAGGAAGACCAACUCAGCGUGGACACGAUCUGCUGGAGCUGGUCAGCAGUACAAGGAAACAACAACAUCUCGGGCAAGCAGGCAGCACAUCACCAUUUGGUUUGGUUUGGUCAACAAUUGGUAUUGGUUUCGGGGUAACCCUUAAGCUGCCAUGGAAUGGAAUUUACACAAACGACACAUGGUUAGGUAAACGGGAAUUUGGGUACUUGGCUUGUUGUGGUCCCCGAUCAUGACAGUCAGUACAAGGGAAUUUUGGUUGUUCAGAAAUUUUAGAAAUUUCAGGGUGGGUGAGGAUGUUUGGGAGUAGCGUCCACCCUUGGAUGUACCCCUGGUCAAACUUAUAUUCACCACUUUUGAUACCUUCGAUCCUCUCUGGAGAGAUCAAUGACGUCACCUAGGAUUAGCUCAUUAUCUCCGGAUUUUGGUGCUAAUAUGCGUGAUAUGGAUCGACUUGUGGGUUGAAGAUGAUCUGUAGGAGAUUUAGGUUUAAACACACACAGUCCAAUAUACCAAGUUGAGCCGAUAGGAGAUCGCCAACAGGAGGGCCUCUGGCCCGCGCUGCGAGCGCAAUUACUUGUAUCUUUUUGUUAGUUAUUAAAUGUUAAUAAAGUGACGAUUUUUA